AUAUUGGACAAUGGGCGAAACCCUGAUCCAGCCAUCCCGCGUGUAUGUUGAAGUCCUUCGGGUUGUAAAGCACAUUAUGUUGGGAGGAAGGGUUGUAGGUUAAUACCCUGCAAUUUUGACGUUACCAACAGAAUAAGCACCUGCUAACUUCGUCCCAGCAGCCGCGGUAAUACGAAGGGUGCAAACGUUAAUCGGAAUUAAUGGGCGUAAAGCGGGAGUAGGUGGUUCGUUAAGUUGGAAGUGAAAGCCCCGGGCUUAACCUGGGAAUCGCUUUCAAAACUGACGAGCUAGAGUACGGUAGAGGGUAGUGGAAUUUACUGUGUAGCGGUGAAAUGCGUAGAUAUAGGAAGGAACAUCAGUGGCGAAGGCGACUACCUGGACUGAUACUGACACUGAGGUGCGAAAGCGUGGGGAGCAAACAGG
rnacentral:rRNA from 1 species